UUUCCGGUUGAUCCUGCCGGAGGCCACUGCUAUCGGGGUUCGAUUAAGCCAUGCGAGUCGAGAGGGUUCGGCCCUCGGCGUACUGCUCAGUAACACGUGGAUAACCUGCCCUAAGGAAGGGGAUACCCCCGGGAAACUGGGGAUAAUACCCUAUAGGUUACAGAUGCUGGAAUGCUCUGUACCCGAAAGUUCCGGCGCCUUAGGAUGGAUCUGCGGCCGAUUAGGUUGUUGUCGGGGUAACGGCCCAACAAGCCAGUAAUCGGUACGGGUUGUGGGAGCAAGAGCCCGGAGUUGGAUUCUGAGACACGAAUCCAGGCCCUACGGGGCGCAGCAGGCGCGAAAACUUUACAAUGCGGGCAACCGUGAUAAGGGAACCUCGAGUGCCUGUAUAUGCAGGCUGUCUGGGUGUCUAAAACACACCUAAAGAAAGGGCCGGGCAAGACCGGUGCCAGCCGCCGCGGUAAUACCGGCGGCUCGAGUGGUGGCCACUUUUAUUGGGCUUAAAGCGUUCGUAGCUGGGUUAUUAAGUCCCUUGGGAAAUCCGACGGCUUAACCGUCGGGCGUCUAAGGGAUACUGGCAAUCUUGGAACCGGGAGAGGUGAGGGGUACUUCGGGGGUAGGAGUGAAAUCCUGUAAUCCUCGAGGGACCACCUGUGGCGAAGGCGCCUCACCAGAACGGCUUCGACAGUGAGGGACGAAAGCUGGGGGAGCAAACCGGAUUAGAUACCCGGGUAGUCCCAGCCGUAAACGAUGUGCGUUAGGUGUAUCGGUGACCACGAGUCACCGAGGUGCCGAAGGGAAACCGUGAAACGUACCGCCUGGGAAGUACGGUCGCAAGGCUGAAACUUAAAGGAAUUGGCGGGGGAGCAC
rnacentral:rRNA from 1 species